rnacentral:rRNA from 1 species
AUUUAUUAAAACUUAAAUGUUUUGGCGGUAUUUUAGUUUAUUUAGAGGAAUCUGUUUAUUAAUUGAUAAUCCACGAAUAAAUUUACUUAAUUUAUUAUUUUGUAUAUCAUUGUUAAAUAAAUGUUUUUUAAUAAUUAAUAAUAUUUUAAAAUUAUAAUUAAAAUUUAAAUCAAAUCAAGAUGCAGAUUAUAAUUAAGAAUAUAAUGGAUUACAAUAAUUUUAUUUAAAUGAAUUUUAAUUUGUAAAAAUUUAAUGAAGGUGGAUUUAAAUGUAAUAUUAUUUAUUUUAAUAAUAUGAUU